GAUCCUGGCUCAGGAUGAACGCUGGCGGCGUGCUUAACACAUGCAAGUCGAACGGAGAGCUAAUGACAGAGGAUUCGUCCAAUGGAUUUAGUUUCUUAGUGGCGGACGGGUGAGUAACGCGUGAGGAACCUGCCUCGGAGUGGGGAAUAACACAACGAAAGCUGUGCUAAUACCGCAUGAUGCAGCUGGGUCGCAUGACUCUGGCUGCCAAAGAUUUAUCGCU
rnacentral:rRNA from 1 species